rnacentral:rRNA from 1 species
CCUACGGGAGGCAGCAGUAGGGAAUAUUGCACAAUGGGGGAAACCCUGAAGCAGCAACGCCGCGUGGAGGAUGAAGGUUUUCGGAUUGUAAAGUCCUAUUAUUAGAGAAGAGAAUGACGGUUACUAACGAAUUAGCACCUGCCAAAUCCUUGUCAGCAACCGCUGGAAAACGGUGGGUGGAAAUGUUACUCGGAAUCUCUGGGGUGAAAGGGCGCCGAGGCGGGAUAGCAAGUCAGGUGUGAAAUCCUAUGGCUUAAACAUAGAAUUGCUUUUGAAACUGGUAAACUAGAGUAUGGGAGAGGGAAGUGGAAUUCUAGGGGUAGGGGUGAAAUGCGUAGAGAUUAGGAGGAAUACCAAUGGCGAAGGCGACCUACUAGACCAUAACUGACGCUGAGGCGCGAAAGUGUGGGGAGCAAACAGGAUUAGAUACCCUAGUAGUC